AACGAACGCUGGCGGCAUGCCUAACACAUGCCAGUCGAACGAGACCUUCGGGUCUAGUGGCGCACGGGUGCGUAACGCGUGGGAACCUGCCCUUAGGUUCGGAAUAACUCCCCGAAAGGGGUGCUAAUACCGGAUAAUGUCUUCGGACCAAAGAUUUAUCGCCUUUGGAUGGGCCCGCGUUGGAUUAGCUAGUUGGUAGGGUAAAAGCCUACCAAGGCGACGAUCCAUAGCUGGUCUGAGAGGAUGAUCAGCCACACUGGGACUGAGACACGGCCCAGACUCCUACGGGAGGAAGAAGUGGGAAUAUUGGACAAUGGGCGAAAGCCUGAUCCAGCAAUGCCGCGUGAGUGAUGAAGGCCUUAGGGUUGUAAAGCUCUUUUACCCGGGAUGAUAAUGACAGUACCGGGAGAAUAAGCUCCGGCUAACUCCGUG
rnacentral:rRNA from 1 species